AGGGGUACAGUCCAGCCAGGUGGGUCCCGACACCGUGCCGAGAACCACAUCCAGACCACAGCUGAGCACCCAACAGCUCACUGAUUGGAUCCAGGGAGGGGAGAAACUGGCUGGAGCCCUCCAGGGUGCAGCUGGGAGGGAGACGUACAUCAAUUACUUAAUUAUCCAAAGCAGGUGGGGAGUAAAGACCCCACCCGGAGAGCAACGAAGACUCUAAAGGGAGGCGCCACACCCUCGGGCGGCAGAGGGUAACGUGAGAGCAACGGGGUUCAAUGGCAGAGCCAAAUUUAAAACAGGUUUCAGGGAGUAUAGAAGGAGGAGGCUUUUGGGAUAUUAACAAUGUGAACCUCAAUUUUUAUCAGGGUUGGGUAGGCAAAAAGGCGGCUUCGCUGAGGACUGUUUACUGCUCUGGAUAUAGCAAUGGUGUGAUCGUCAUUAAGAGACAAAAGGCGAAAAUACAGUCAAAUCAAACAAAAGGCACAAGACGCACCAGCCGCCCAACCACCAUAGAAAAUACCCCCCACUUAACGUUGGUGUUUGCUGGAACCAGCUAGGACUUGUUUUCCAGUUUU
rnacentral:lncRNA from 1 species